UACGAAGGGGGGCUAGCGUUGUUCGGAUUUACUGGGCGUAAAGAGCUCGUAGGCGGUUUGUCGCGUCUGCCGUGAAAGUCCGGGGCUCAACUCCGGAUCUGCGGUGGGUACGGGCAGACUAGAGUGAUGUAGGGGAGACUGGAAUUCCUGGUGUAGCGGUGAAAUGCGCAGAUAUCAGGAGGAACACCGAUGGCGAAGGCAGGUCUCUGGGCAUUAACUGACGCUGAGGAGCGAAAGCAUGGGGAGCGAACAGG
rnacentral:rRNA from 1 species